rnacentral:rRNA from 1 species
UACGUAGGCAGCAAGCGUUGUUCGGAGUUACUGGGCGUAAAGAGUAUGUAGGCGGUUGGGUAAGUUUGGUGUGAAAUCUCCCGGCUUAACUGGGAGGGUGCGCUAAAGACUGCCUGGCUCGAGUGUGGGAGAGGAAAGCGGAAUUCCUGGUGUAGCGGUGAAAUGCGUAGAUAUCAGGAGGAACACCUGCGGUGUAGACGGCUUUCUGGACCAUAGCUGACGCUGAGAUACGAAAGCGUGGGUAGCAAACAGG